rnacentral:rRNA from 1 species
GGCUGUCGUCAGCUCGUGUUGUGAAAUGUUGGGUUAAGUCCCGCAACGAGCGCAACCCUUAUCCUUUGUUGCCAGCGGUCCGGCCGGGAACUCAAAGGAGACUGCCAGUGAUAAACUGGAGGAAGGUGGGGAUGACGUCAAGUCAUCAUGGCCCUUACGAGUAGGGCUACACACGUGCUACAAUGGCAUAUACAAAGAGAAGCGACCUCGCGAGAGCAAGCGGACCUCAUAAAGUAUGUCGUAGUCCGGAUUGGAGUCUGCAACUCGACUCCAUGAAGUCGGAAUCGCUAGUAAUCGUGGAUCAGAAUGCCACGGUGAAUACGUUCCCGGGCCUUGUACACACCGCCCGUCACACCAUGGGAGUGGGUUGCAAAAGAAGUAGGUAGCUUAACCUUCGGGAGGGCGCUUACCACUUUGUGAUUCAUGACUGGGGUGAAGUCGUAACAAGGUAACCGUAGGGGAACCUGCGGUUGGAUCACCUCCUUA